GGCGAGGGCUCGAACUUGCAUCCGGCUUGUGUAACACUGGGCACUGCAGAACAGCAGAAACCUACGAGAACCAGAGUCCAGCCGACGAGCCGCCGCCUCGCGAUCACCGAAGGCAAUGGAGACGCCGUCUCCAUGGAGGGUCCUCGAGUUCUACAGCGGUAUCGGCGGCAUGCGGUACUCCCUAGCAUCGUCGGGCGUUCGCGCGGAGGUGGUGGAGGCCUUUGACAUCAACGACGUCGCCAACGACGUAUACGAGCACAACUUCGCCCACCGCCCCUGCCAGGGAAACAUUCAAACACUCACUGCUGGUGAUCUAGACAAGUACAAGGCACAUGCAUGGCUCCUUUCUCCUCCAUGUCAACCAUACACACGGCAAGGACUUCAGAAGCACUCAGCUGAUGCCCGGGCCUUUUCAUUUAUAAAGAUUUUAAGCCUUAUGCAAAACAUGAGCUUUCCUCCACAAAUGUUAUUUGUGGAGAAUGUUGUCGGAUUCGAGGUGUCUGAUACACAUGACCAGUUGCUAGGGGUCCUUUCAACUCUCAAUUUCAACACACAAGAAUUCAUCCUAAGCCCCUUGCAGUUUGGUGUCCCAUAUUCUAGACCGCGCUACUUCUGUUUGGCGAAACAGGAACCUAUGUGUUUUCCAAAUCCAUCAGUCAAUGAGAAGCUGCUUAGGACACCUACAUUCCUAACAUUGAACGCUACGACAGCUCAGAAUAGCUAUGACCAGAAUGAAGAUGAUCUGGAAGUAGUAUGUAAUCCAAUAAGAAACUUCCUUGAAGCACAAAGUAUUGUUAUUGGAGACGGGGAGUGUUCAGCCAUCAUCUCUGACUUUAAGGAGGCUCAUGGAUGCACUCCGAGUGAAACUGCUUCACAGGACUACACAGUUCCGCUAAGCUUGAUUGAACGGUGGGGAAAUGCUAUGGAUAUUGUAUACCCUGAAUCAAAACGGUGCUGCUGUUUUACUAAAAGUUAUUAUCGCUAUGUGAAGGGCACAGGCUCUGUACUGGCUACAUCUAAAAACGUCAGACCAGUUCCAAAAGAGAACCUUGAAAUUUCUUCAUUAAAUGAGUUGGGUCUACGUUUUUUCACACCUCGAGAGGUCGCCAAUUUGCAUUCUUUUCCCUCGAGUUUCCGUUUUCCGGAUCACAUAGGCCUCAGACAGCAGUAUGCCAUGCUGGGUAAUAGUCUUAGUGUAGCGGUUGUGGCUCCUUUGCUGCGCUAUCUGUUUGCCGGGGCAUAGAGAAGUUCUCAAUCAUUUGGCAGGUGAUAUUCACCUUGGUGCGCCAUCUGAUAUUUGUCAAAAAUCUUGCCAUACUUGAGUUGCAAUUUACCGAGCUUGAAGACUUGCGAUCAAUCUGCCGAUGGCCUAGCAGGAAUUAUAGUGAAGAGGUGGAUGCGUGCAAAGUAAGGUGGUAUGUAUGGACGAAGCUCAGCCUUUGGAUCUACUCCGUAUACAAAUACCAGUCCAACGUUGUGCCUUUCACCCACAACCAUAUUUUUGAGGUGCAGUUAGUAAUGUGAUAUUUUUUUAGGGCAAGUGUAAUUUGAUACUUUGUGAUGACAUAUCGUAUUGCGCGCAAGAAAUGGAUGCAAAUCAAAUCCCACUGUA